rnacentral:lncRNA from 1 species
GUGUGUAAAUAGAGUAAGAGGGAGGAUGAAGAUAUGAAGUGAAUGAAGAGGAAGAGGAGUGCUUGUAUUUAUAGUUUAAAUCCUGCCGACAUACCGAGGAAAUUCCGAUGGAAUUCCGACGGACAAAACUAGUUCGUCGGAAUUUCCUCGGAAUUUUGUAAAAUCCCCCAACGGCUCUCCAACGGCUAUAAUAUUUCCUCGGAAUUCAUCGGUUUUUUCCGAGGAACACAGUUU